GGCGACAGCCAGCACCCUCCGCGGUUCGUUCCUUCCUCAGUCGCUGCUCUGCUCGCCCCAGGCCCGCUGCCGGGUUCGUCCAGGCGCCCUGCCGCUGCGCUGCUGGCCACACAGAGCCCGCCCUUUCUGGACCCGGAGGCCCGAUUGCUCCAAAAGCACAGGAAACGCACGUCUUGACUUGCGAGUCUAGGUUCCCAUGGGAUGUCACAAGCCAGAGCCCCCUUCGCACCCCGGCCUCAGGAUCCAGCACCUUCGCAGAGGGGAGGCCCACUGCCGGCCAGAAGAGGGCACCAGACCUCAUUACAGAUGGUUGUGAGCCACCAUGUGGU